rnacentral:rRNA from 1 species
UCCUGGCUCAGGAUGAACGCUGGCGGCGUGCUUAACACAUGCAAGUCGAACGGGGUUAUCAUUUUUGAAGCGAUUAGCUUGCUAAGAGUGGAAAAGCUGAUAACUUAGUGGCGGACGGGUGAGUAACGCGUGGGUAACCUGCCUUACACAGGGGGAUAACACUUAGAAAUAGGUGCUAAUACCGCAUAAGCGCACAGUCCCGCAUGGGACAGAGUGAAAAACAUUAGUGGUGUAAGAUGGACCCGCGUCUGAUUAGCUUGUUGGCGGGGUAACGGCCCACCAAGGCGACGAUCAGUAGCCGGCCUGAGAGGGUGGACGGCCACAUUGGGACUGAGACACGGCCCAAACUCCUACGGGAGGCAGCAGUGGGGGAUAUUGGACAAUGGGGGAAACCCUGAUCCAGCGACGCCGCGUGAGUGAAGAAGUAUUUCGGUAUGUAAAGCUCUAUCAGCAGGGAAGAAAUAGCGACCUUUGGGUCGCCAGACGGUACCUGACUAAGAAGCCCCGGCUAACUACGUG